GACAGAGGCCUCGAGCGUUAGGCGGAAUCACUGGGCUUAAAGCGUGUGUAGGCGGAUGCCUAAGUACCUUGUGAAAUCCCACGGCUCAACCGUGGAACGGCUGGGUAUACUGGGCGUCUUGAGCCAGCUAGGGGCGACCGGAACAAAUGGUGGAGCGGUGAAAUGCGUAGAUAUCAUUUGGAACGCCAAUGGUGAAAACAGGUAGCUGGGGAUGUGCUGACGCUGAGACACGAAAGCCAGGGGAGCAAACGGG
rnacentral:rRNA from 1 species